rnacentral:rRNA from 1 species
GAUGAACGCUGGCGGCGUGCCUAACACAUGCAAGUCGAACGGAGAUUUAACGCUGAUGAAGCUUCGGCAGAUUCUUGUUAAAUCUUAGUGGCGGACGGGUGAGUAACGCGUGGGCAACCUGCCUCAUACUGGGGGAUAACAGCUGGAAACGACUGUUAAUACCGCAUAAGCGCACAGCAUCGCAUGAUGCAGUGUGAAAAACUCCGGUGGUAUGAGAUGGGCCCGCGUCAGAUUAGCCAGUUGGCAGGGUAACGGCCUACCAAAGCGACGAUCUGUAGCCGGCCUGAGAGGGCGGACGGCCACAUUGGGACUGAGACACGGCCCAAACUCCUACGGGAGGCAGCAGUGGGGGAUAUUGCACAAUGGAGGAAACUCUGAUGCAGCGACGCCGCGUGAGUGAAGAAGUAUUUCGGUAUGUAAAGCUCUAUCAGCAGGGAAGAAAGACUCGUAAGAGAGAUG